UUAUUUUCCAAGUCAAGCGGAGUAGGCAAUACUCAGCGGCGAACGGGUGAGUAACACGUGGGUAAUCUUCCUCCGAGUCUGGGAUAACUUUCCGAAAGGGGAGCUAAUACUGGAUAGUCCCGAGAGAUCAUAGGAUUUUUCGGGUAAAGAUUUAUUGCUCGGAGAUGAGCUCGCGCCCGAUUAGCUAGUUGGUGAGGUAAUGGCUCACCAAGGCGACGAUCGGUAGCCGGCCUGAGA
rnacentral:rRNA from 1 species